UCCCCGGUGGCCUAGUGGUCAAGACUCUUCGCUCCCAAUGAGGGGACCUGGGUUAGAUCCCCGUCAGGGAA
rfam:Ovis aries breed Texel chromosome 6, whole genome shotgun sequence.